UAACCUGGUUGAUCCUGCCAGUAGUCAUAUGCUUGUCUCAAAGAUUAAGCCAUGCAUGUCUAAGUAAAAACUAAAUUAUGGUGAAACUGCAAAUGGCUCAUUACAACGGUUAUGAUGUACCCGGGAUUUCCGAUGGAUAUUUCCAGUAACACUAGAGCUAAUACAUGUAACUGCGUUUAUUAGUUUCAAACAAAUCUGUCGCUGAGUCAUGGUAAACGGUUGAUCGACUCGACGUCCCGGAACAGUUUCCGCCCCAUCAGCUUCGAUGGUUGGGUAUUGGCCUACCAUUGCAACAACGGGUAACGAGGAAUUAGGGUUUGAUUUCGGAGAGGGAGCCUGAGAAACGGCUACCACAUCUACGGAUGGCAGCAGGCGCGCAAAUUACCCAAUGCAGACACUGUGAGGUAGUGACGAGAAAUAAUAAAGUGGGGCUUCUGUCUCGCUAUUAUAAUGAGGAAUAACUAAAUGUCAUUCCUAUUAGCAACUGAUGGGAAAGUCUGGUGCCAGCAGCCGCGGUAAUACCAGCUUCAGUAGCAUAUAUUAAAAUUGUUGCAGUUAAAACGUCCGUAGUCUGUACGUCGUCCGAGACUUUACUACAUCUCUGCAUGCUCUUUAUUGAGCGUGCAGCAGUUUGUAGUUACUCCCUUGAUCAAAAUAGAUUGCUCAAGGUAGACCAAGUCUUCAUAUCUUCACAUGGAAUUGGGUGAGGGAAAAGGAAAUUGACGGAAGAGCACCAUAAGACGUGGAGCUUGCGGCUUAAUUUGACUCAACGCGGGAAAACUUACCAGGUCAAGACAUGGGCGUGAUUGACAGGCUAAUGACCUUUCUCGAUUCCUUGGAUGGUGGUGCAUGGUCGCACUUAGUUGGUGCAGUGAUUUGUCAGGUUUAUUCCGGUAACGAACGAGACCUCGGCCUUGUAACUAGCUUUAUCGCUGCUUACAGGGACAAUGUCGGCUACGUCAAGGAAGUUCGAGGCAAUUGCAGAUCUGGAAUGCCCUUAGAUGUCCUGGGUCGCACGCGUGCUACAAUGACGCCACGAACGAGUUUACGUGAUGAAAGUCAUGUAAAAUCACAAAUCGUCGUCUUAAGGGACAGUCUCUUGUAACUGUGGGACUCUAACUAGGAAUGUCUCGUAAGCACAAGUCAACAUCUUGUGUUGAUUACGUCCCUGCUCUUUGUACACACCGCCCGUCGCUCCUACCGAUCGAGUGUUUAGAUGAAUUUGACGGACUCACGGAAGUUAAAUAAAUCUGAUCACUUAGAGGAAGGAGAAGUCGUAACAAGGUUUCCGUAGGUGAACCUGCAGAAGGAUC
rnacentral:rRNA from 1 species